rnacentral:rRNA from 1 species
UACGUAGGGGGCAAGCGUUGUCCGGAAUCAUUGGGCGUAAAGCGCGUGUAGGCGGCCCGAUAAGUCCGCUGUGAAAGUCCAGGGCUCAACCCUGGGAUGCCGGUGGAUACUGUCGGGCUCGAGUCCGGAAGAGGCGAGUGGAAUUCCUGGUGUAGCGGUGAAAUGCGCAGAUAUCAGGAGGAACACCAAUGGCGAAGGCAGCUCGCUGGGACGUGACUGACGCUGAGACGCGAAGGCCAAGGGAGCAAACGGG